rnacentral:rRNA from 1 species
UGGAUGAUGCGGAUUAAUUCGAUGCAACGCGAAAACCUUACCUACCCUUGACAUGUCCGGAAUCCCGAAGAGAUUUGGGAGUGCUCGCAAGAGAACCGGAACACAGGUGCUGCAUGGCUGUCGUCAGCUCGUGUCGUGAGAUGUUGGGUUAAGUCCCGCAACGAGCGCAACCCUUGUCAUUAGUUGCCAUCAUUUGGUUGGGCACUCUAAUGAGACUGCCGGUGACAAACCGGAGGAAGGUGGGGAUGACGUCAAGUCCUCAUGGCCCUUAUGGGUAGGGCUUCACACGUCAUACAAUGGUCGGUACAGAGGGUUGCCAACCCGCGAGGGGGAGCUAAUCCCACAAAGCCGAUCGUAGUCCGGAUCGCAGUCUGCAACUCGACCGCGUGAAGUCGGAAUCGCUAGUAAUCGUGGAUCAGCAUGUCACGGUCGAAUACGUUCCCGGGCCUU